rnacentral:rRNA from 1 species
AUUGAACGCUAGCGGCAGGCCUAACACAUGCAAGUCGAACGAGUGGCGGACGGGUGAGUAAUAUAUCGGAACCUGCCUGGUAGAGGGGGAUAACUACUGGAAAGGGUAGCUAAUACCGCAUACCAUCAGAUGUGCCCAGAUGGGAUUAGCUUGUUGGUGGGGUAACGGCUCACCAAGGCGACGAUCCCUAGCUGGUCUGAGAGGAUGACCAGCCACACUGGAACUGAGACACGGCCCAGACUCCUACGGGAGGCAGCAGUGGGGAAUAUUGGACAAUGGGCGAAAGCCUGAUGCAGCCAUCCCGCGUGUAUGAUGAAGGCCUUCGGGUUGUAAAGUACUUUCAGCGGGGAGGCGUUACCCGCAGAAGAAGCACCGGCUAACUCCGUGCCAGCAGCCGCGGUAAUUC